rnacentral:rRNA from 1 species
UGCAGUCGUACGAGAAGCCUUCGGGCGAGUAAAGUGGCGAACGGGUGAGUAAUACGUGAGCAACCUGCCUUUGGAUUCGGGAUAACUCCUCGAAAGGGGGGCUAAUACCGGGUAAGACCACGGAGUCGAAUGGCUCAGAGGUAAAAGAUGGCCUCUUCAUGAAAGCUAUCGUCCAAAGAUGGGCUCGCGGUCCAUUAGCUUGUUGGUGGGGUAACGGCUCACCAAGGCGACGAUGGAUAGCCGACCUGAGAGGGUGAUCGGCCACACUGGGACUGAGAUACGGCCCAGACUCCUACGGGAGGCAGCAGUGGGGAAUUUUGCGCAAUGGGGGAAACCCUGACGCAGCGACGCCGCGUGGAGGAUGAAGGCCCUUGGGUUGUAAACUCCUGUCAGGAAGGACGAACGGCAGGGUAGUUAAUACCUGCUCUGUUUGACGGUACUUCCAGAGGAAGCUCCGGCUAACUCCGUGCCAGCAGCCGCGGUAAGACGGAGGGAGCAAGCGUUGCUCGGAAUCACUGGGCGUAAAGGGCGUGUAGGCGGGAUGGUAAGUCGGAUGUGAAAGCCCCGAGCUCAACUCGGGAAGUGCAUUCGAUACUGCCGUUCUUGAGUGUGGUAGAGGAGAGCGGAAUUCCUGGUGUAGCGGUGAAAUGCGUAGAUAUCAGAAGAACACCUGUGGCGAAGCGGCUCUCUGGACCAAUACUGACGCUGAGGCGCGAAAGCUAGGGGAGCGAACGGGAUUAGAUACCCCGGUAGUCCUAGCCGUAAACGAUGGGCACUAGUGCGGGAGCGUUGACCUUCUGUGCCGGAGCUAACGCAUUAAGUGCCCCGCUGGG